rnacentral:piRNA from 1 species
UAUGAAAUGAAUAUCUAGUAA